AUAAGAUUGUCACAAGAUGUAUUCUCAGGAAUACUGUUCCCUGGAUUUUGAAGGAAUAAUUAUUUUAAAAAAAAGUUGGAGAAGAUUAGAAAAAGAUCAAGAUAAGUAACAAUUUUUUAUAAUUCAAAAUAUUAUUGAGUAUAUGACUAAAAGUUAAUUAUUACAUAUGAUAAAUAUAGUAUUGGUAAUACUAGAUCAUUUCUUAAGCUAUGAUACUUAACAAUAUUUAUCUUGUUCAGAGGAAAAUAAAAACAGACACCUACUUCCCAUGUACAAAAAAAUUGGAUUCAACCAAGGGACUGCUCUUCUGAAAUUAACUUUUGAGAGACCUUGGAAUGAGCAUGUGUCCUCCACAAUAGUGGGUGUAGAUUUACUCAGAUUCAAUUAAAGCAGUUCAAAUUCUGGAUACACCAUUUUAUACAACAAAAUAUUUAACUUCUGUUUUUCAGUAUUUGCUGCUUUCUGUAAUUCUUUUAGGUAAGUUUUAUUUCUUUUUUCCAAAAAUGAAACUGAGUUAUUGAGUGCAUUGGGACAAGGCACUUAGAGCUAUAGUGUCAAAAGGCAUAAAUGGGGAUAACAAUACUGGGAGAAAAAUCCGUAGAAUUUGGGGGUCUGGUUUGGGCUUGUUGAGUAGGCUGGAAGUAAUGUGUUUACUAGUUCAAGCCUCCAAGAGUACUCUGGGCAGAAUACCAAGAGUACUUUCUUUAGUAUUUGUCCCUUUAAUCAAUUUAAAACAUUCUCUACUCUGCUGUCCAGCUCUGAGAGUAUCUGAACAGGAAUAGAGUAUAUGUUGGGACCAACAGGGAAAAAAAGGUCAUAAAUAGAAUGACAGUCCAAUAUAAAACUAAAUACCCUUUGUCAAGUUAUACAGAGACUUUAAUAGUCUCCGUAAUUAGCUGCUAUCACACCGAGUUUUGCUGUUGCCCUGUCACCUCACACUUCCAAGUCCAUGGCCUUGUCUUGGCAGUGACUAGAAAGUCUCACUUCCUCAUUUACUUCAGUGGGUCCUAACUGCACCUUUUCAGAAACAAAGUUUGCUUUGACACUCAGGAGAAUAAAAAUAAGUUAGAGCAGAAUGUAUUUGGAAAAACUUAAGACAAAUUUACUUAUGUUGUUUUAGGAUCAUUUAGGAUUACAGAUCAAUGUACCUCCAUAUUUUUCAAAAGUCACUGUGACUGCAGGAUGAAAAUCCUUUAUUAGCCAUUUUACAGGUAAAAGCAAAAGAUUGACUACACAGCCGAUUUCCCUCAGAUUACUAUAAAGUUUGUUAUGAAUACUGAAUGACCAAAGAGCAUGGAAAAAAUGCAUAUGAAUAAAUAUUGAAAUGUUUAUGAAAGAUAUUUAUGAAAGAUAAGACUUCUGUGUUUGAAUAUGCACAUAUAAUAAAAUAAAUCUAAAA
ensembl:lncRNA